AUUUUUUUAAAUUUUGUUUAUAUAUUUAUUUAUUUAUUUUGAGAUGAAGUCUCAUUCUGUUGCCUAGGCUGGAGUACAGUGGCACAAUCUUGGCUCACUGCAACCUCUGCCUCCCAGGUUCAAGCAAUUCUCUCAGCCUCCCAAGUAGCUGGGAUUAUAGGCAUAUGCCACCAUGCCAGGCUAAUUUUUGUAUUUUUUGUAGACACAGGGUUUUGCCAUGUUGGCCAGGCUGGUCUCAAACUCCUGACCAGCCCUCCUUGACCUUCCAAAGUGCUGGGAUUAUAGGCGUGAGCCAUUGCACCUGGCCCAGUUCCCUGGGAUACAUGUGUUUUAAUUCAUUUUCUGUUGCUAGUAACAGAAUACCUGAAACUGGGUAAUUUAUAAGGAAAAGAAAUUUAUUUCUUACAGUGAUGGAGGUUGAGAAGUCCAACUUCAAGGCACCACAUCUGGUGAGAGCCUUCAUUCCGAUGACAGCCUUCAUGCUGGUAAGAUUUUCUUCAGAGUUCCAAGGUGGUGCACGGCAUCACAUGGCGAAGGAAAUGAGCGUGCUAGCUCAGGUGUCUCUUCCUCUUCUUAUAAAGCCACCAGUCCCACUCCUGUGCUAGUAACUCUUUAAUCCAUCAACCCAUUAAUCCAUGAAUAGAUUAACCCAUGAGGCCUCUGCCCUCAGGACCCAAUCACCUCUUAAAGGCCUGACCUGUCAAUAUUGCCAUACUGGGGACUCAGUUUCAACAUGAGUUUUGAAAGGGACAAACAUUCAAUCCAUAGUAACAUGAGAGCUUUUCAAAGCCCUUCUUUGUUGAAGUAUGUCCUUCUCCAGCCUCUUUUUUCCCAGGCUUUUUGUUUUUUCUAUUGCUUGUGCAGCUGUUAUCCUUUGCUACAGGUGGCAAUAGCUAAUACAUUUGCCUUUAAAUUUGUUUGACAAACACCACCCUGGAAGUAGCCUCAACUCUGGGGAAGCUCCAAGACAGGUAAAAUACAGCAACCUGCAGCAGGAAAAUGGGCUUCAGUUUUCAAGUCUGCAGCUGAGUUGGGAAGUUGCGGACAGUAACCAGGUAAGUUAAAAUUCACAAAGCUCUGUUACUGACACUCAGCUUUUUUUUUUUUUAUCAUUAAGCUUUCCCCUGGUUGUUGUAACUUUUUUAUUGGAUUCUAAAGUUCUGAAAAAGUUCAUUGUGAUAAUUUUUGCAAGCUUUUCAUUGCUUUUGUGGAGACAUAAUGUUUUGGAGCUCUCUACUCUGCGAUUUUCACUGAUAUCUGUCCAAAGGAGAGAGUGGGAGAGAUGGAUCUUAUAUCACUCCAUAAAAGUGCAGCCUCUAGGCCAGAUCCCAUUAGAUUUGGCUGGGAGUCUAGGAUAAUUAAACAUUCACAUACUCUGUAACCCAGAAAUUUCACUAAUAUAUAUCCUACAACAACUUUUGCACAUGUGCAUAAAAGAAAUUCAUAAAGGCAUUCAUAGCAAGAUUGAAACUUUGUAUUCUACCUUCUUUUCUGAAAGCAUUGGAUACAAAGGUCUACGUCUCUGGCCCACUGCUGAAGUCACCUAGAAUUUUAAUUAUAUGGAUAAUUAUUUGGCAGAGUGCUUAAGGAGAAAUAAAAAAGGGUUUCAAAAAACUACUGAUUUUUUUUUUUAAGAGAAAUCUUGCUCUGUCACCCAGGCUAGAGUGCAGUGGCACGAUCUUGGCUCACUGCAACCUCCACUUUCCGGGUUCAAGUGAUUUUCCUGCCUCAGCCUCCUGAGUAGCUGGGAUUACAGGUGUCUGCCACCACGCCUGGCUAAUUUUUGUAUCUUUAGUAGAGACGGGGUUUCACCAUGUUGGCCAGGCUAGUCUUGAACUCCUGACCUCAAGUGAUCCUCCCACCUUGGCCUCCCAAAGGCGAGAGCCACCGCACCUGGCCUCAUUCCUUUUUUAUUCUGGGUAAUUUUAACAUAUCAUCUGACUGACAAGCUACUGCUAAUAAAAUAUAAACUGAAAAUAGAUUUUUUUCUUCCUUGUCUAGACUAUUUAAUUUUGUUCUUCUUUGCUAUUGUCUAGUUCUAGAAAAAGCGCUUAGUGUGAAAUUUGUGGGAAAGAUGCUGUUCAGAGUUUAAUUUCAUUAUGUAGUUAACCAAUGAAAAUCCAGCGGAAAAAAAAGGUAAACAUUUUUAGGAGAUGGUAAAAACUAUUUAAAAAAUGGAAAGUUCAUAGACAUAAUUUUUCUGAAAUAGAACAUUCAGUCAAUAGAGUUGAAAACUGAAUAAAUGAAUACAUGAUUGAAUGGUUGAUUCAAAUGCAUCAUUAAUUAAUUGGAAAUAAUUGACUGUGUCACUUGGUCCUAAAAAUAUUCCUCUAAGAAAUCAUUAGCAUUAUCUGGAAAACUUUAAAAAGUGAUACCCAAAGCCCAGUUUAAUUGAAUCAGAAUCUCUGGAGGAAGGGCUUAGCCAUUAUUAUUAUUAUUUUUUUUUUUUCUGAGAUGGAGUUUCACUCUUGUUGCCCAGGCUUGAGUGCAAUGGUGCGAUCUCAGUUCACUGCAACCUCCACCUCCCAGGUUUAAGUGAUUCUUCUGCCUCAGCCUCCCGAGUAGCUGGGGUUACAGGCGCAUGCCACCGUACCUGGCUAAUUUUUGUAUUUGUUGUAGAGAUGAGGUUUCACCAUGUUGUUGCACAGGCUGGUCUCGAACUCCUGAGCUCAAGUGAUCCGCCUGCCUCUGCCUCCCAAAGGGCAGAGAUUACAGGCAUGAGCCACUGCACAUGGCCCUUUUAGACCUCUUUUAAUCUUUGGGUUUCUUCAAAACCAUUUGCUUCCCUUGCAAUUUAUUUUUGGGAUAAACCAGUUGAUACUGUAGGGCUUCCCACAGUUUAGAUUUUGCUGAUUAUAACUUUAUGGUGUUAUUUAACAUGUUCCUUUGUCCCCUCUAUUCCGCAUAGAUUGUUCGUCUGGUAAGGAUAUAAUAAACUUAUUAAAUGUUAGCCCAUUGUGUCAUUCCUCCUUAGUAGGGGUUAAGAAUUAUGCUGCCUUCAGGAAGGGGUCUGCAUGUUGAGGUUGCCCAGGUCUGAGUGCAACUAGGAUAUACAAUGGGAGUUGAGAUCAUCAUUGUGGGGCAGGAUAGUGUAGAAAAUGGCAGGGAAGCUGCUCUUUGCCUCACCUCCUCACAGCCUCUGUUCUUGACAUCUGCCUCUCUCUUAGAGUGGUGUGGAACAUGUCUCUUCUCUGAACUCCCUCUCCUUUAGUCCUGUCACACUGAAGACAUUGCUGGAGGCAUUUCUGCCACCUGGGUGAAUCAAAGAACCAACUAAUUUGUGAGGAUGUGUAGAGGAGGCAUUCCUAACUUUCCACUUAUCUGUUAAGACCCAGUUGAAAUCUUUCAUCUUGGAGCGGGGGACAGUGAUCCUGUUCCCCCGUGCCCACCCCCAUCUGGAAGCACAGCUGAUCACUUUCUCCUUGGUAGAACAGCAUGCCUCACAUAUACCCCUGUUAUGCAUUUUGUUACAUGUCAUUUGAAUUAUGUAUCUCUCUACGUAAUUGUUUCAACUAUAAGAUGCACAAAUUCCUUGAGGUUGAGAACCAGGUCUUCUUUAUUUUUUUAACCCCAGGGCCAUGCACAGGCCCUGGUUGUAUCUGGCACGUUCCUGGCAGGAAGCAGAUGAUGCCUUCAAACUGGGUAAUCAAGGGCAGUUUAACAAUAUUAUAGGCAUGAGCCACCGCGCCUGGCCCAAUUAAUCCAUAUUUUUCUAGGGAAUGAAUCGUGAUAAAACCAGUGAAUUCCAUGGUUAUGAGCCCGCUGUCACAUUGCCACCUCUGAAAAGUGUAUCCCUUGCAGGGAGAUGUUUGAGUUUUGACACCAUUUGGGAUAGACAAGACAUUCUUUAAGUCCAUGAACUUUGGUGCUGGCAGACAUACUGGGGACAGGAAAGGCAAAUCCAUACUUGGAGCAAAUAUUUGUCUCUGUGAGGCUAAUUCUGCCUCCUACCUGAUGAAAGGGAUCCAAAGUUAUCUACCUGCAAUCAGAUGUCUUUGCUGGGUCUCUUUAAGGAACGGUGCCAUUUUAGGGUCUUAGUGUUGAUCUGCUGUGGCCGAUUGGACAUUGAGUUCUGGCAGAGGCCAGAUCAGUCUUGGUGAGAGUGUGCUACUGAGCCCAUGCAUAGCGUCCAUCCCUGCCAUAUGUGUGCUUUGUUCAUGGGCCAAUUAAGCAAGUACGUGGGAAGUGAGGGAAAGAGACUGAUAGAUAUCCACAGAUUGGAUCAUCUUGACCACAUGAUUAUUGUUAGAAACAGAAUUGUGGCCCCCAAAUUCAUAUAGUGAAGCCCUAAUUCCCCCAUGUGACUGUAUUUGGAGACAGGAGAUAAUUGAGAUCAUAAGGGUUGAGGCCUAAUCUCAUAGGAUCGCUGUCCUUAUAAGAAGUGGAAGAAACAUCAGAGAGCUCUCCCUCUCCACACACACAGAGGAAAGGCCACAUGGGGACAAGAGAGGGCAACUGUCUACAAAUCUGGAAGAGAGACUUCAGAAGAAACCAGCACUGAUGGCAUCUGAUCUUGGACUUCCAGCCUCUGGAUCUUUUCUGUGUCAUUUCCAGAUCUGCCAGAGCCUGAUCUCAUACACACUGAUGUGGUACAGGAAAUGCCACCUGAAAAUAUGGUACCUUGGCAUUUGAGGAAACAGUAGAAGGAGGUCAUAGAAACUAGAAAGAAUUCCUCCUUGCUCUUUGUCCCCCAAAGGAGCCAUAAAACCUGGGCCGAGUUUCUUCUGAAAAUAAGUUAUAAGAUCCUUAUUCCAGAGGGGUCCUGCCCUGUGCCUGGAGGAAAAGAAUGAAGACACAGAGAUGCCUUGAAGAAUCUGAACAAACAGCCCUUGCUAAGUUCCCCCCAGUUUAUUGACAUUAGAUUAGACCUUUUGUCCUCCAAUUAUACUUCUGUGUUCCUGAAAAUACACAUUUUCCCGUUUUUUCUUUUGUUUGCUUUUUUUGAUCUUCAUUUCUGAAGAUUCCCAUGUCAUGUAAAAUAUAUGUUAAACAAAU
rnacentral:lncRNA from 1 species